rnacentral:rRNA from 1 species
UACGAGAGGCCCAAACAUUAUUCGGAAUUACUGGGCGUAAAGCGCACGUAGGCGGCUUUGUAAGUUAGAGGUGAAAGCCCGGGGCUCAACUCCGGAAUUGCCUUUAAGACUGCAUCGCUUGAAUCCGGGAGAGGUGAGUGGAAUUCCGAGUGUAGAGGUGAAAUUCGUAGAUAUUCGGAAGAACACCAGUGGCGAAGGCGGCUCACUGGACCGGUAUUGACGCUGAGGUGCGAAAGCGUGGGGAGCAAACAGG